GGCACGGCGUGGGGCGUGGCGGACAGGUGCCGCGCAGAGGACCUGCCCAGGCGGUGGGCAGCGCUUGCGCGUCUCCCCCACGUGUUCAGGAAUUGCUCCACAAUCGGUGAAAGGCUCCGUUUUUACGCGCGGUCCUUCGCUGUUUGCAGAGGCAGCCGUGCCGCCCCCGCCGCUUUCAGGUCCUGAGCAUCUCCUUCCGCAGGCGCGCGCCCAGCCCCCGACGGCACUGCAGUCUCCCGGCCCCACGGACGUGGAAUGGCAGCGCUCUGCCUCGGGGUCUCGGUGACUGCCCUUGAGUCAACCCUUUCUGAGUACUGCUCCGUGGCCCAAGGGUUCAGUCCGUGGUUGACCAACUCCAUUACUCUGGACCUGAGGUGAGGCCCACCAUCAUGGCGGAAGGGCCUGGUAGAGAAAGGCAGCUCGGGACCUGGCAGCCGGUGAUCAGAGAGAGAGAGACACAGUGGACAAGAUACAGUUGCCAGUGACCCACCUCCUCCAGCCACGCCCCACCUGCCUACAGUCACCUCCCAGUGAGUCCAUUCAAGGCCGCUUCACGGAAGGAUGAAGCAGGGUUAGCAACAGGAGUUCUCUGCACCAGCCCCUGGGCCCGCUUCCCGCACUGCCCACGCCCUCCAGUCCAGCUGCAGAGCGGCUGGCGGAUGCCACGACCCCUGGAGGACCCCAGCAUGGCAGGCUGGUGCGUGCAGGUGAACUUGUCUCCUGGGAGUCACCUGAGUUGCCCCACAGGUGAGUUGUGGCAGCUACGGUAACUGCAUGGUCAACUAAAUGCUGUGCAUGUUGGCACCAGUUCCACGUGAAAUGAGAAUGGAUCACUACUCUAAAAAAAUAUUGCCUGCUGGAAAUCCAGUGACUGAAGGGCACAGGGAGCACCUCGGAAGUCUCAGAGGCCUCCGCUCUCAUUGGCAGUGUCCCCGAGUCCCCAGAAGGAACUAAGGGCCACCUUGGAGGCUGGACCCGGGUGGCAGUCCUGGCAGGAGCAGUGUGCCCAGCGUGGUUCAGCGGUUGUGCCCUGCUGCAGGAUGGGACCCUCAUCACCACUGGCUUUUUGGUUAACCAGCUGGACUAUGUGAACGCCCCUCCCAGAGGACAAGUCCAUGUCCUGAACCCCAGGACCUGAGAAUGGGGCCUAUUUGGCAAAAGGGGCUUUGCAAAUGGCCAGAAGCCGGAGAUCCAGGCAUGGGCAGGGCCAUGCUCCCGCAGGGGGGUGUCCUGCCACCUUGCGUCCCUUGGUUAUGGCCACAUCUCUCCACCCUCUGCUGGCCUCUGUGCUGCGCCUUUGGCCUCUCUCUCCCCUUCUCAGGACGCUGUUGUUGGCCGGAGCCCAGCUCCAUAUCUAGGGUGAUCUCAGCUCCAGGACUUUACCUCUGGUUCUGUGCAUGAAGACCCUAUUUCCAAGUGACAUAUCUUUUAGGGGUUCAACUCACCACUGCUGCAAAAUCAAGCUGUGCCCCUGUGACGUGGGAUGCCAUUUUUGAGAUUUAAAGUGUGUGUUGGCAGAUGCUCACCUGCC